AUGCCGGCAGCACCCUCGCCCUCAACCUUGGUGGUGGCGUGGCUGUACAAACGACGCCGGUCGACGGUGGUAUGGCACCCCAUCCCUCCCCUUCCCCCUCUCCCCUCCUCUUUGUUGUACAAAUUCCAUGGCUCCCCUACAUCGAUGGCCGAUGCCGACAGUAGCGCCACAACGAGGGCCUUGACUGCGACCACAAGACACCAGGAUGUGACAGUAGUGUCCAGAGAAGUAGAGGAGAAGGGCAUGGGGAAAUUAGUGAUCAGUGACGUGCUUGCCCAGAUCGACACCACGCCCGACUCAUCCCUGCUUACGAGCGUGAUGUCUGCACAUAAGGUGUUCGACAUUUUGAUCCGCCCAAAUCGAUGUCUGCACAUAAGGUGUUUGACAUCAAUGAAAUGA
rnacentral:rRNA from 1 species